UACAGAGGGUGCGAGCGUUGUCCGGAAUCACUGGGCGUAAAGGGCGCGUAGGCGGCUUGAUAAGGUUGCGGUGAAAGCCCGGGGCUCAACCCCGGGUCGGCCGUGGCAACUGUCGAGCUGGAGCACUGUAGAGGCAGGUGGAAUUCCGGGUGUAGCGGUGGAAUGCGUAGAGAUCCGGAAGAACACCGGUGGCGAAGGCGGCCGGGCAGUGGCUGACGCUGAGGCGCGACAGCGUGGGGAGCGAACAGG
rnacentral:rRNA from 1 species